rnacentral:lncRNA from 1 species
AAAAAUCAUUGAUCAGGAAAGACAUAAAAAUAUUUCGUGAUGAAUAAUAUAGUCAACAAUAAUUUUGAUAUGAUAUACUUUUUAAAAUUGAUGGUGUUUAUCAAUUAUUGCACAUAAUGUUAAUCACAAUUGGUAUAGUUGUCAUGGUGGUUAGAAAUAUUGCUUUGUAUUAAAGGGUUGCAGGUUCGAAUCCUAGUCAAGACAAAAUUGUAUUAUUUUUUAAUAAAAAUUGCAAGAUAAAAUGGAGGGAAAACAGGGAAAACAAAU